rnacentral:rRNA from 1 species
UAGGGAAUCUUCCACAAUGGACGCAAGUCUGAUGGAGCAACGCCGCGUGAGUGAAGAAGGUUUUCGGACCGUAAAGCUCUGUUGUUGGUGAAGAAGGAUAGAGGUAGUAACUGGCCUUUAUUUGACGGUAAUCAACCAGAAAGUCACGGCUAACUACGUGCCAGCAGCCGCGGUAAUACGUAGGUGGCAAGCGUUGUCCGGAUUUAUUGGGCGUAAAGCGAGCGCAGGCGGAAGAAUAAGUCUGAUGUGAAAGCCCUCGGCUUAACCGAGGAAUUGCAUCGGAAACUGUUUUCUUGAGUGCAGAAGAGGAGAGUAGAACUCCAUGUGUAGCGGUGGAAUGCGUAGAUAUAUGGAAGAAUACCAGUGGCGAAGGCGGCUCUCUGGUCUGCAACUGACGCUGAGGCUCGAAAGCAUGGGUAGCGAACAGGAUUAGAUACCCUGGUA